rnacentral:misc_RNA from 1 species
CAUUGAUCUUGGCAGCCCUCCAGG